rnacentral:sRNA from 1 species
UCACAAACUCCACGAGCGACUCCACACC